CCUACGGGCGGCAGCAGUGGGGAAUAUUGGGCAAUGGGCGCAAGCCUUACCCAGCAAUACCGCGUGAGUGAAGAAGGUCUUCGGAUUGUAAAGCUCUUUGAUCAGGGACGAACAGAUGACGGUACCUGAAGAACAAGCCCCGGCUAACUACGUGCCAGCAGCCGCGGUCAAACGUAGGGGGCGAGCGUUGUACGGAAUGACUGGGCGUAAAGGGUGCGUAGGCGGAAUAAUAAGUUAGAAGGGAAAUAUCCAGCGCUUAACUCGUGUGCUGCGUCUAGGACUGUUGAGCUUGAGUGCGGGGGAGGUUAAUGGAAUUCCUGGUGUAGCGGUGGAAUGCGUAGAUAUUAGGAGGAACACCAGAGGCGAAGGCGAUUAACUGGACCGUAACUGACGCUGAGGCACGAAGGUGUGGGUAGCAAACAGGAUUAGAUACCCUAGUAGUC
rnacentral:rRNA from 1 species